CAGGUGCGUUGACCUAUACACAUCGUGUCGUUAUUACAGUUCAUAUUCAUCAGCUGCACAAUAAUUUUUUACAGAUCAGACGUGACCCGUCGAGUAAUUGGUCCACGUGCAGUUCGUUUUUUACAUUCCGUGGAAGCUUGGCUGCAGAACCUCGGACGGCACAUAGCUGGCGUCGAUCCUUGGACAGUCCAGGUGGAGGCGCGCGCUGAAAGAAGAGUUCUUCUGUCUUCAACUGCGUCACUGGAACCGCUGAAAUGAAAAUUUCUAUACUACUUAUUAUCUGUGUUGUAACAACAUAGUUUUUCGAGUUGCUUAGCAAUAUUUUGAUGGGUAUGACUUCGACAUUAUUCAGCAUGAAAUGCUCUAAGAUCUCGGUGUGCGUAUAGCCCAAUAAUUUUGUUAGUUCUAGGAUGUUGUAACAGAUACGCACCAGGAUGCGGUAUGUUAACAAUUAUAUAAGGUCCUUCAUAUAGCAGACGCCACUUAGCGUUGCGUCGUUUGAGUGCUACAGAUUUAUGAUGAGUACGAAGUAGUACAAGCAUUCCUACCUCGAAUUUUUGUUUUCUUUUUAUUAUGUUUCUGUGAUGUUUGUUUCGUAUUUGUGCGUGAUGUGUCAAUGUAGUCAAUACUUCUUUUAUUUUCUGUUCAGGUGUGAUUUCCUUGUCUGACAACUUAGGUAAUGGUUCUAUCCACUGAUCGUUCUGUUUGCAAUUGAACAUGAUCUCGUUAGGUGUGUAAUUCGUAUCGUAAAUAUUUAAGUUAUUGUGUACAUCUUCGAAAAGACUUAGGUAGGACACCCAAUUAGUAUGUUUAGAUGAAAUAUAGGUCCUCAUGAAUCGAUUUAAUUCUCGGAAAAGUCUCUCAGUCGCGUUACAUUGUGGACUAAACCUCGAAAUAAAUAUACUUUUAAUGUUAUUGUCCUUCAAGAAAUUUCUCCAUUUGUACCCAGAGUAGUAUGCUGCAUUAUCUGAUAGAAUUGCUUUAGGUUUUCCCACGUGCAUCAGGUAAUCACUUGAGAAUCUUCGUAUUAUAGCAUUUGCAGUGGCGGAUUUUAAAGCAUAAAGUUUUACAUGUUUAGAAAAUAUAUCGUAAAAUGCUAAGAUAUAUUUGACGCCUCCAGAGCUUGCUGGAUGCGGUCCACUGAUGUCAGUACACAGAAUUUCCAGGGGUUUACUAGGUAAAAUAGAAUGUAAAUCUGUUUUUGUGGAUAAAUUCUGAGGUUUUGAAUUUUGACAUAUGACACAUGUUUUUAGUUCCCUGUAAAUUUUUCUUCUCAUAUUGCUAAAAUAACAGUAUGUGCUGAGCUUUGCCAAACACUUUUUCGUCCCAUAAUGACCCCAAACUAAGUGUGUGUGCCAAAUUACAUUACGUUCCGACUCUUUGGGAAUGCAUACACACCAGUUAGUAGCAUUUGGAUGUCGGCAGUAAAAUAACACAUCAUUGUGUAACUUGUAAUACUUAGUCAAAGGAUGAUUGUGUUUUUCUACCAGUAAUGUUAUUAUCUUAUACCAGUGAGGAUCAGAUUUUUGUAAUUCAGCCAUGUUUCUGCACAUAUCAAUAUAAUAUUGGUGAUACUGCUUGUCUUGCAUUAAGAGAAUCCUGUAGUCAUUUAUAUUUUCUAAGUCACUGUUGGUAUCAUUCAUACCUUGUGGAAGUCUAGACAAAGUGUCUGCAAUGGUGUUGUCCUUACCUCUUAUGUACUUAAUUUCAAAAGAGUAGUUCUGAAGUGUAACUGCCCAUCGUGAUAGUCUAGGAUGUACAAGUUUACAAGUUAACAAAAAUGUCAGGGCCUGGUGAUCGGUGUAAAUUACUGUAUGUUUUCCAAAUAAAUAAUAAUUGAA